GAAAUCCACUCCAUGCUAAAUAAAGUGGUGAAAUGCAUUGCUGCAUAUCAUCUCCUUCUUCACCACUUGUCUUAGGCAGCCAUGGAAAUGGAGAAACCAACCCUGCAACUCUUGGCCAGCAGCUGCAAAUAAUUUGAUUAAUAGCUUGAGCAGUAAAUAUUGGACGUGCGGCUCGAUUAUACGGUAUGUAACGCUGUCCCUUCUUUCUUUGUUUGGCAUGACUUUUAAAAAUAAGCGAAUAAUGGACAGGUUUGAUACUUACCUCUAGAGCGUCUAGGUGACGUAUAUUCUUGCUUCCACAAUUAUUCCUCUAUAUAUCGGCUAUGUCUAAGGCUAUGAUGAUCUCUCAUAUCUAUGGUAGUGCUUCUUAGAGUCAUUGAGAUUUUACGUUUCCAUUUCGUAUUAAAGGUUCAUAAUCUUGAUAAAACAUUAAUCUUUGGUAAUACUCCUUGCUGGUUCACGUUGAUUGUUCUAUUGAGUUAUAAAAAAAAUGAUUUUAAUUGCAUAUGGUUGCUCAUAAUAUUUUGCUCGUGCAUAGAGUCAUUUAUCAUUUCACCGAGUCCCGGGCCGGGUAAUGUUCGUGCGGAGUUUCUUGCAUAUGUCACCGAGUUCCUCACUAGAGGGCCGGGUAUGUAUAUUAUAUAUAUGAUUGGUGAUGAGGAUGGUUAUGAUGAUGAUGAUGACGGAGAUGACGUGAUGAUUAUUUUGUCGAGCCCCUUACUAGGGAAGCUGGGCACCUUAUAUGUUAAAGAUAUGCAUGAUUUUCACUUAAAAGGGUGCAUGUGUAGCGAUAUUUUGUUUCGACUUGCCAUAUUGGUAUCCUGUCAUCUUUACCUUAUGCUUUACAUACUCAAUACAUUGUCCGUACUGACCCCCCUUUCCUCGGGGGGCUGCGUUUCAUGCCCGCAGGUGUAGACGCACAGUUCGGUGAUCCUCCCGCCUAGGAUAUCUACUCUGCUGAUUGGGAGAGCUCCACUGUUCCGGAGCCCAGUCGUUUUGGUACAUAACUUUUGUGUAGUCUUUUGCUCGUCUAUGGGUAUGACGGGGCCCUGUCCCGUCGAGUUUCACUAAUGUACUCUUAGAGGUCUGUGGACAUUAUGUGGGUUGUAUAUAUAUGUUUUGGAUAAUGGUCUAGACAUGGUUUAUUUGGGAUGUCCGCUUGUAUAGGGGCAGCCUUGUCGGCUGCGUACAUCAUGGUGUAUUGUGUAGUGGCGGCCUUGUUGGCUCACGUAUGCUGUU
rnacentral:lncRNA from 1 species